rnacentral:rRNA from 1 species
UACGAAGGGGGCUAGCGUUGCUCGGAAUCACUGGGCGUAAAGGGUGCGUAGGCGGGUCGUUUAAGUCAGGCGUGAAAGCCCCGGGCUCAACCUGGGAACUGCGUUUGGGACUGGUUUGCUAGAGAUCGGGAGAGGAGAGUGGAAUUCCCAGUGUAGAGGUGAAAUUCGUAGAUAUUGGGAAGAACACCCGUGGCGAAGGCGGGUUCUACAUGGG